AUGAUGAGGGUAGUACGAGUCUUUGUCCAACUUGUUCGGUUCGUGUAUCUCCAUUUUCUAUUGCAUCAUGCAGUCCUCUGUACAGUUCUGUCCUCAACUUACCUUGGUUUGUCCUGUACCAAUUUAGUCUCCACUAUUCAAUGCACGUUGCUGCAUCAACUAAGAACUGCAGGAACAAACGUCCACUCAUUUGCAAUGUUGAAGUUUCGUUCAGACGUUGUUGUAUGCGAUACGCAUAAAACUCCAGCAUUGUUACAUACUUUCUUUUACCUUUGCUGCCUCUUUUAUUUUCAUACUCUAUUUCUGGUCUGA
rnacentral:rRNA from 1 species